CUCUUUCGCUCCCUCCUUAGCCCGCUUCACUUCGUGGACUACGCCCGCCGGCUCCCAGCCUUUGAUGCCACAAGUAAACAAACCUCGCAUGUCGCCUUCUGCUGGGUCCUGGAGGUCUUGGAAGCCUGAUGAACUCGUCUUUUUCAGUUUCCUGGAACUCUCUGCUGUGGUCCUCGUGAUAAGAGUGACCUUUUUGGCCUGCUCUCCCCAGCUCUUUUCCAGUCCUCAUGCAGGGUAUCAGCAUUGCUGAGUGGCCUGCCCAGGAUGACACAACUGCCAGAACUCGGCCUGAGGUCUCCUAAUAACAAAUAAUCCCCCACUGGUCCCCACCCACUGGAGCACCUACUUGCCAGGCUCGUCAAGCAAAGAAGGAGAUCCACUCCAACGUCAUCUCCCAGGAGCCUUCUCUGCAGCGUCUCAGGUCCUGGCUCUCACCUCCUCAGCACCCAUCCCAUCCUGUGUCACUCUGUGUAUCAACCUCCCCAGCCAGCCUCCAGGCCACAAGCCAAGAGGUAUCAAGGGCUCCUCCCUGUCCUACUGGCCCCACAUCCACUGUGUCUAUCUGGUCAACUUUACCUUCCAAACAUUCCCUGCACUGUGAUAGAUGGCUGUGGCCCUGUCAUCUCUCACCUGAAAUUAACAAUGUAUCCUUGGGGCCUCCCACCCUCAUAUCUUGGCUCCUCCAGUCCCUUCUCUGCAAACAUGGAACAGUGGGAUUAUUAUAAAUCUCAGACCCGUUUUGCCCCUUUCCUGCCUGAGAGUUUUUGUGGUUCCCCACUGCCCUCAGAACAAAGCUCAAGACCCUUUGGCCUGGCACUCAAGGUCCUUUGUGCUGCCACCUGUCAACCUCCCCAGUUCCAGCUCUUUUGGUUUUGCCCAUACAAGCUGGAUCUGCACCAGAGGAUCUGUCUUCCUCCCAGCUUGGCCCUUACUCCUCCUAGGAGCCCUUUGGACGUCACCUCCCCCAGGAAGCUUUCUGCAACCACCCUACAACUGUCCCUAUAAACUUUAUAAAACCAAUUAGGGAAGAAGUAGGGGGGAAAGAUGAAAAUAAACCAAGCCUGCAGCACACUCAGCAUUCAUCAUGAGGUCAGCGGCUCUCUGACCUGCUUCCUCAUGGCUGGUUGGUGCCUGUUGUCCUGGAGUCACAAAGACCCUAGAUUAUAGCUGCCCUUAACUGCUGUAUAAAUAACAACUUGAACAUGAAAUGUUAAAUUUUCCUUUUGAAAUAUUCCUUCAGGUCCUGCAUGCUGAUAAAACUACUGACUCAGCUGGUCCCCAUGAGGAGCUGGCUCACCAAAGAAUGCGGUUUCCAAUCCCAAUUAUUUCAUGCCCCUUGCUCAGGCAAUCAACAAUCCCAAAUUUCCAGCCCCUUGCCCUCCACAAUCUCCUUAAAAAACCCAGCCCAAAACUCCUUGGGGAGAUGGAUUUGAAGGUCUCCUCCCAUCUCCAAACUUGGUGCCCUGCAGUCAUUAAACUCUUUCUCUGCUGC
rnacentral:lncRNA from 1 species